ACGCCAGUCUGCAUGGAGCCGGCCUUGAAAUACCACCCUUUAAUGUUUGAUGUUCUAACGUGGACCCGUGAUCCGGGUUGCGGACAGUGUCUGGUGGGUAGUUUGACUGGGGCGGUCUCCUCCUAAAGAGUAACGGAGGAGCACGAAGGUUGGCUAAUCCUGGUCGGACAUCAGGAGGUUAGUGCAAUGGCAUAAGCCAGCUUGACUGCGAGCGUGACGGCGCGAGCAGGUGCGAAAGCAGGUCAUAGUGAUCCGGUGGUUCUGAAUGGAAGGGCCAUCGCUCAACGGAUAAAAGGUACUCCGGGGAUAACAGGCUGAUACCGCCCAAGAGUUCAUAUCGACGGCGGUGUUUGGCACCUCGAUGUCGGCUCAUCACAUCCUGGGGCUGAAGUAGGUCCCAAGGGUAUGGCUGUUCGCCAUUUAAAGUGGUACGCGAGCUGGGUUUAGAACGUCGUGAGACAGUUC
rnacentral:rRNA from 1 species